rnacentral:lncRNA from 1 species
GGUGGGGGCAGGGGUGCCAGGUGUAGCAGGUAGGGAGGUAGAGGCGGCGAGUGGGGGCGCCCGAGGGACCGGGGCGGGGCGGGGAGCGUAAGGGUGGCAAGGCGCCCGAGAGUCAGGGCUGGAGCUGAAGGUGGGUGACAGGGAGGGGGCGCCCAGGUGUCAGGACCUGAGGAGAAAGAGUGCGCGUAGCGGGAGGGCCCCGAAGUGUCGGGGCGGGAUCCUGGAAGGAGGGAGAACGUGAGGAGGGAGGAAGGGUCCCUGGGGUGUCAGGGAUGGGGGCCAGGAAAGGGGCAGAGAGCUGGAGGCCCACAAGUGGGGAUAGCGGGGGAGGGAGGUUGGAGCGAGUGGGGAACGCAGGUGGUGUCGAGGGCGGGGACAGGGCGAGGGGAGCGGGGCGUGAGGAAGUUGUGGGAAACCGCGCUGGACGCUGAGAAUGUGCGGAAGGAUCCUGAGGGGAGGACGCGAGACAGCGCGAGGAGAGACGAGGAGAGUUAGGGUUGGCCGGGAGGGUGCGAAGAUGAAGCGACCACUGGAGGCUGUGAGGGUGAAAGGAGCAAGAAUCGUCUAGAGACGGGCUGGGCCGGUGCUGGGGCCAAAGGCUUCUGUCUGUCAGGCCCUUUUUGGCGCUCACUCUAGAAAGAAGAGGCGGAGACGCGAAGAGAUCGGGUUAGAGUCAGAUUUUCGAAGCACGGAGAUGGGUUCAAUGAAAGGACGAGGAAAGACGAGAAACCAGCGGCCGGAGAACGGAGGUGGCCGCCGCCGUCCUUUGCUCUGCUCGGGGCUGGGCGCCGCCCGGAGAGCCCUCCCGGAGGGGGCGGGGCGGGGCCGGGUGAACAGAGCUGGGCGGGCUCGCCAGCUCUUCCAGGCGCCCUGGGCAAGCAAUGUGGGUGACUGAGCUCGGGUGUGUGUGCCUGUGUGUGUGUGUGUGUGUGUGUGUGUGUACGUACACAAGUGAGCGUGUGUGCGCACCCCACCCAGCCUUCCACACGCGCGCUGCUUAGUACCAGGCCAUAUUGUGGUCUGAUGAGUAACGUAAGCCUUUGGGGUUUAUAUUUACCUUCUUGAUGUGUAGUAAGUGCUCUCCCUCCUCCCUCUGUUCCCCAGGUACCGUCUGACUAGCUCCCCAUUUAAGAGAGCUGGGGACAGGCAAAGCAGCCCUGGAAGUCUCCUGUGAUUUCUAAGCUUAAAUGUCUAUUUUUCUUUUCUCCCAUGCCUUGUAAUUGGGAAGAGGGAAAAGUUUACUUAAGAGCUGUUUUUUAAAUUAUUACUAACUUGUUUCAAACAACACUCUCAUACUCCAGAUAAUUCAAUUUUCAUCUCUUUGGAGCUGAGCAAACCAGAUGAAAUUAUAUGAAUCCCAGUUUAUUUCAUUUUGUUGUAGAGUUCAACAAUUUUUAUGAAUUUCUAAUCCAACCUCAUCAUCCUAUGGGAAACAGAAGACCACCAAGAACAGCCAGCUGGUAUCUUGGCAGUAACCUCCUCCAUAUAUUUCCUUGGCCCUCAGCUUACAUCUAGCAAAAUGACUCUACUGGUUCCAGGCUUCACAUGCAUACAACAUGGUGUUGGAGGAACAGAGAUGUUUUCUCUUCCUGGUGUUUUCCCAGACAUUUCUUAGCUGGCAUUUCAAACAAGGGUCCUGAAAUUCACCCUGGUUGGGUCGUGUUCUCCCCUUCCCAUUCCCCAUCCCCACCCUCAACCGAAAAAUGAUGUAAGCAGGGGAAAUUGAAUGUACCAAUGUUUGUUUUUAAACAAGCCACAGACCCCUCCCCAACUCCCCGACUGAAGCUUGAAGUGGGAUCAGCUUUCCCUAAAGUACUUGAGCUUAUGGUAAAGCAUAUAUGUUAUCCAAGUUAAAGUCUGGACGCUGUUAGUAAUGGGAAGGCAAGUAAUGAAUGUUAGCUAUGGAGCCAACAGACAGUGUCCACUCCAUUGUCUUUAAGGCCCAACUAAAGAUAACCUCUUUACCAAUGUCGGUUUAUUUAUUCAUUUAUUUAUUCAUUGAGAUGGAGUCUCACUCUCUCACCCAAGCUGGAGUGCAGUGGAAUGAUCUCAGCUGACUGCAAUUUCUGCCUCCCAGGUUCAAGCAAUCUCCUGCUUCAGCCUCCCAAGUAGCUGGGAUUACAGGCGCACACCACCAUGCCCGGCUAAUUUUUGUAUUUUUAGUAGAGAUAGGGUUUCACCAUGUUGGCCAAGCUGGUCUCGGACACCUGACCUCAAGUGAUCUGCCUGCCUCGGCCCCCAAAGGUGUGAGCCACUGCACCUGGCUACAAUGUCAGUUUCUAUAAAAACUGCCUUGACUUGUUUUGUUUGCUUGUUUUGUUUGUUUGUGUUUUAAUUUUUAUUAUUUUUUUUUAGAGACAGGGUCUCAAUCUGUUGUCUAGGCUUGAGUGCAGUGGUGCAAUCAUAGCUCACUGAAGUGUUGGACUCCCAGGCUCAAGCAGUCCUCCCACCUCAGCCUCCCAAGUAGCUGAGACUACAGGCAUGCACCACCCUGUCUGGCUAAUUUUUUAUUUUUAGUAGAGAUGAGGUCUCACUAUGUUGCCCAAGGUGGCCUCAAACUCCUGGCCUCAAGUACUCCUGUGGCCUUAGCCUCCCAAAGCUCUGGGAUUGCAGGUAUGAGCCGCCAUGCCUGGCCUACUGUAUAUUUUAUGCAUUUGAUAUAAGUCUUGCCUCCCUAAGUAUAUUACAAGUCCCUUGAAGUUAAAGACAUUAGAUUCCUACUCAGUGCUGAGCUGCAACAGAGAGCACUCAAUGAUGGAUAAAAUAGUUUUAGCAUGCAUUCAGCGAUAUAUAUUUAGAAAGUGGAACUAGGUGGUUGAAAAAAGUGUAUAGAUGGGUGGAAGGGAAUAUUACAGCUCUUAGAAUUGUCCUAAGGUGAGAGUAACAAAUUAAGCAAUGAGUCCCUGGGUUCACUCAAGCAACUUCACUCUCUAAAACAAGAGCCCACAGAAUCCCAUUUCUGCUUUCAGAAUGAGUUUGAGGCCAAUAUUAUUUCCAUUUUUUUUCUUUUUCUUUCUUUCUUUUUUUUUUUUUUUUUUUUGAGACGGAGUUUCACUCUUGUUGCCCAGGCUGUUUUGAUCUCGGCUCACUGCAACCUCUGCCCCUGGGUUCAAGCGAUUCUCCUGUCUCAACCUCCCAAGCUGGGAUUACAAGCAUGCGCUACCACACCUGGCUAAUUUUGUAUUUUUAAUAGAGACGGGGUUUCUCUGUGUUGGUCAGGCUGGUCUCAAACUCCCAACCUCAGGUGAUCUGCCCACCUUGGCCCAGCCUCCAAUAUGAUUUUCUAAUAGCUGUGUUUGAUGAUUAUAUUUAUUCCUCCAUCAGUAGCUUUUUUAGCCUUGAAAAUAUCUAUUUAAGUUUCUUAUUUCCUUUGGAUCUAUCAAAGUGUUUUUCCCCAAGUGGCACCUGGGAAAACAUAUUCUAUUCAUUUAUUUUAUAACUGUUCCCUUGACCUCUUUAUUGCUUCCCUAUUACAACCCAAGAUGCUCUUGUAAACCUGACUUAAUAUUGGCAGUCUUCAUCCCUUGCAAAUGGAAGUGAUGACAGACCCAAUACUUUGUGUAAAAAUAUUUUGCUAUUUCUAUACAAAAUAUUUUAUUAAUGGAAACCACAUGUUAUGUAUUUUACAUAUGUUAUGACUUGAAAUUUAUGUUAUGACUUGAAAUUGGGGAAUCUGAUAUGUCUCUAAUAAUAAAGGCUUCACAGUACAACUGUUGUUUGUAGAUUUACAGAUGGCUGGCAUUUUAAUUUUUUAAUUUAAAUUUUUAAUUCAAAUAUGAUUGACCUGAAAUAUUAACAAAAAUUAUCCUUGAAUUGUUGCACUGCAAAAUAAGAAAGCAAAAUCAGCUAUCUAUGAUGCAACAUUUUAUUUAUAAAUUAAGAUUGUUAGCACUCAUCUAUUGAUUUUUCUCUCUAUUAAACAUACUCCUAAUAAUAAAGGGAAGGAAGGAUCUUUGUAAAGUUAAAUUUACCGUAGCAAAGAAUAGAGGUGAUAAUUAAUAACAUGUUAAAACUCCUU